AUGCUCCCAUGCAAAUUCCGUAUUUCAGAAAUUUCAUUGAAAUCUAGUCCACGGAAAGUUAAAAAUGAAGGAGGAGCCUUUCCUAACUCCACUGGCUGCGGCAUCUGUGGGAAAGUGUGGCUGGGUCUUCGAGGAGCCGCACCAGUGGCCUCUGUGCUGUCCUACGAAAGCCUGGUCCACGCCGUGGCCAGAGCCAGAAGCGUGACAGCAAUGACAGUUUUUUCCCCUGGAUACAGCUAGACUUCAACUUCAGGUUGGUGAGAAAAGAAAAUCCAAAACUACACACAUGGUACUCCUGGAGAUCAUUAAAGAAGAAGGACUCCUGGCACCAUAUCGAGAGUGGUUUCCAGUGAUUUCCAGUCUCUGCUGCUCCAAUUUUGUCUAUUUCUACACUUUUAAUAGCCUCAAAGCAGUCUGGGUCAAAGGUCAACGUUCUACCACUGGAAAACAUCUGGUAGUUGGGUUUGUUGCAGGAGUAGUUAAGGUGUUACUAACAACUCCACUCUGGGUGGUAAACACCAGACUGAAGCUGCAAGGGGCAAAAUUUAGGAAUGAAGACAUUGUACCAAUGAACUACAAAGGUAUCAUUGAUGCUUUUCAUCAGAUCAUUCGAGAUGAAGGAAUCUCGGCUUUAUGGAAUGGCACAGUUCCCUCAUUGCUGUUGGUCUUCAAUCUUGCCAUCCAGUUCAUGUUUUAUGAAGGUUUAAAAUGGCAGCUUUUAAAGAAACAGAUGAAGCUUUCUUCCUUGGAUGUGUUCAUCAUUGGUGCAGUAGCCAAAGCGACUGCCACCAGGCUCACCUAUCCCAUGCACACAGUACAGUCAAUUCUGAGGUUUGGGCAUCAUAGACUAAACCCAGAAAACAGAACAUUGGGAAAUCUUUGGAAUACUCUCUAUCUUCUUCACGAACGAGUAAGGCGCUUUGGAAUACUGGGACUCUACAAAGGCCUGGAAGCCAAACUGCUACAGACAGUCCUCACUGCUGCUCUCAUGUUCCUUGUUUAUGAGAAACUGACAGCUGCCACCUUCACAGUUGUGGGGCUGAAGCGUGCACACAAACACUGAGACUCCUUCCCAUGAAAAAUUCCGAAGAUUCUCAAGAGGGAGGUUUCCUCGUGAGUGAAGAGAAGUGAUUCUCCUUUGACUCUGGCUCCUGCCACCACAAAUGUUACCCUCAUUGGCUUGAAAAGCAUCCAAGGGUGAACAGGGAGUUUGGCCAACUGGACCUGUUGUCACCUUGUCAUGCUGACUGGUUGGAUUUUGGGGUGGCAGUUGUACGAAUAUGAAAAAAAAACCUUGUUGAAAACCUAAAAA